GACGAACGCUGGCGGCGUGCCUAAUACAUGCAAGUCGAACGCAGUGGGGACGGGUGAGUAAAACGUGGGUAACCUCCCAUCAGAGGGGAUACCACUUGGAAACAGGUGCUAAACCGAUACUGAUGGAUGGACCCGCGGUGAAUUAGCUAGUUGGUGAGGUAACGGCUAACCAACGCAACGAUGCAUAGCCGGCCUGAGAGGGUGAUCGGCCACACAGGGACUGAGACACGGCCCAGACUCCUACGGGAGGAAGCAGGAGGGAAUCUUCUGCAAUUGACGAAAGUCUGACCGAGCCACGCCGGGUGAGUGAAGAAGGUUUUCGGAUCGUAAAACUCUGUUGUUAGAGAAGCGGUAUCUAACCAGAAAGCCACGGCUAACUACGUGCCAGCAGCCGCGGUAAUUC
rnacentral:rRNA from 1 species